AGGCCUAGGGGUCAUACUGGGGCCUGAGGAAAAGCCAUACCCAGAUAUGCAUGUAGUACCUAUGGUGAGAGCAGUUCAUUUCACAUUGGGAACCAGCAGUGUGGAUGACAGCUGCCGGGGAACCGAUUCUGAACCGAUUCUCACAUGGGACUUGAUGCUUCCGCCAGACCCAAACAAAUUUCAUGAUGCGUUGUGAAGCCUGAGCCAUCCGCUGUCUUCAAACAAGCAGCAAACAAAUGCGCGGGAGGUCCUGAAUGCAAGCGCUGACCAAUUACAGCCUCUGGCACCUAGAAAGGCCACCCACUGCAAUGGCUGCCACUGGACGGAAAAUGGUGACUGCUACUG